CAUAAUCCUCUUCGUCGUCGCACAUGAAAUCGUCUUCCAUGUCAGACAUGUUGAUGGUCUUCCUUGGUUUUUUUUCAGGGACAGACAGUAGCCGGGCCUGUGCUGUGUUUUGCAGCAAUGGUGAGGUGGUGUGUCAGGGUGGCAGCAAGCAACAGCCCGAUCCCGUCUAUAGAUGGGGCUAUUGGAUCGCCUCAGAUACAUGAACAGCGUUACUCUGUAUAGCCUAAAGGUUUGACCAGCUGCAGUCCUCUGGAUGAUGUAGCGGAACAUACUUGGCUGCCCUCAGAGAGACCACUGGCAGCAUCACAUCCCACUCUGCCUCACUCAGGGGGUCAUUCCACAUUGAACCAUGUGAAAGAUUUCAUUACUGAAGAAGUUACGUUCCUGUUCCGAAAAUGUACGCAAUCAGCUUGUGUGUCAUCAAGUUAUGUGUCAUAAGUUUAUUUUAAAAAAUGGAUGAGUGUAGGUGAAUAACUCAAGUCCAUCAUCCUGUGCAGUCAGUUUGGCCAUAAUAUUUACAAUAUCCAGACAUGAAUCACCAACCCUAAUACUAGAGGGAAGAACACAUUCACAGACUGAGUUAUGUGACUUUAAAAGAAUAAAAAUUUCCAGAGUAAUAUUA